AUACGUAGGGGGCGAGCGUUGCCCGGAAUGAUUGGGCGUAAAGGGCGCGUAGGCGGCCCGGUAAGUCUGGAGUGAAAGUCCUGUUUUUAAGAUGGGAAUUGCUUUGGAUACUGUCGGGCUUGAGUGCAGGAGAGGUAAGUGGAAUUCCCAGUGUAGCGGUGAAAUGCGUAGAGAUUGGGAGGAACACCAGUGGCGAAGGCGACUUACUGGACUGUAACUGACGCUGAGGCGCGAAAGUGUGGGGAGCAAACAGGAUUAGAUACCCUGGUAGUCCACACUGUAAACGAUGAAUGCUAGGUGUAGGGGGUAUCGACCCCUUCUGUGCCGCAGUCAACACAAUAAGCAUUCCGCCUGGGGAGUACGGCCGCAAGGUUGAAACUCAAAUGAAUUGACGGGG
rnacentral:rRNA from 1 species